CCUACGGGUGGCAGCAGUGGGGAAUAUUGGACAAUGGGCGAAAGCCUGAUCCAGCCAUGCCGCGUGUGUGAAGAAGGCCUUCGGGUUGUAAAGCACUUUCAGUGGGGAAGAAAGCCUUGGGGCUAAUACCCUCGAGGAAGGACAUCACCCACAGAAGAAGCACCGGCUAACUCCGUGCCAGCAGCCGCGGUAAUACGGAGGGUGCGAGCGUUAAUCGGAAUUACUGGGCGUAAAGCGCGCGUAGGCGGUCUGAUAAGCCGGUUGUGAAAGCCCCGGGCUCAACCUGGGAACGGCAUCCGGAACUGUCAGGCUAGAGUGCAGGAGAGGAAGGUAGAAUUCCCGGUGUAGCGGUGAAAUGCGUAGAGAUCGGGAGGAAUACCAGUGGCGAAGGCGGCCUUCUGGACUGACACUGACGCUGAGGUGCGAAAGCGUGGGUAGCAAACAGGAUUAGAUACCCUAGUAGC
rnacentral:rRNA from 1 species